CUUCAAGUCCGGUAAUUGGAAUGAGUACACUUUAAAUCCUUUAACGAGGAUCUAGUGGAGGGCAAGUCUGGUGCCAGCAGCCGCGGUAAUUCCAGCUCCACGAGCAUGUACGUAAGUUGUUGCAGUUAAAAAGCUCGUAGUUGGAUCUCAGGCUUGUGGCCGGUGGUCCGCUCGAUACGGGUGUGCACUGCCGUGCCCGGUCUACGUCUGGUCUAACGUCUAUAGUGCCCUUAACCGGGUACUAUAGAAUGCCAGAAAGUUUACUCUGAAAAAAUUAGAGUGCUUAAAGCAAGCCGUUGUGCUUGAAUACUGUUGCAUGGAAUAAUGGAAUAGGACCUCGGUUCUAUUUUGUUGGUUUUCGGAGUCGAGGUAAUGAUUAAGAGGGACAGACGGGGGCAUUCGUAUUGCGCCGUUAGAGGUGAAAUUCUUGGAUCGGCGCAAGACGAACAACUGCGAAAGCAUUUGCCAAGGAUGUUUUCAUUAAUCAAGAACGAAAGUCAGAGGUUCGAAGACGAUCAGAUACCGUCGUAGUUCUGACCAUAAACGAUGCAACUGGCGAUCCGCCGCAAUCUGGCUUAAAGGAUUCGGCGGGCAGCCUCCGGGAAACCUAAGUCUAUGGGUUCCGGGGGAAGUAUGGUUGCAAAGCUGAAACUUAAAGGAAUUGACGGAAGGGCACCACCAGGAGUGGAGCCUGCGGCUUAAUUUGACCCAACACGGGAAAACUCACCCGGCCAGGACACUGUAAGGAUUGACAGACUGAGAGCUCUUUCUUGAUUCGGUGGGUGGUGGUGCAUGGCCGUUCUUAGUUGGUGGAGUGAUUUGUCUGGUUAAUUCCGAUAACGAACGAGACUCUAGCCUGCUAAAUAGACAGGCGAUCCCAUUGUGGGUCGUCCUGAUUCGCUUCUUAGAGGGACAAGUGGCGUUCCUAGCCACGCGAAAUUGAGCAAUAACAGGUCUGUGAUGCCCUUAGAUGUCCGGGGCCGCACGCGCGCUACAAUGAGGGACGCAGUGUGCCCGCAAAGCCUGACCCGAAAGGGUUGGGUAAUCAUUUUAAUUUCCCUCGUAAUAGGGAUUAAGCAUUGUAACUAUUGCUUAUGAACGAGGAAUUCCUAGUAAGUACGAGUCAUCAGCUCGUGCUGAUUACGUCCCUGCCCUUUGUACACACCGCCCGUCGCUACUACCGAUUGAAUGGUUUAGCGAGAUCCUCGGAUCGGGCCCUAUUCGUGUGAAAGCAUGGAUGAGGUCUGAGAAGAAGCUCAAGCUUGAUCAUUUAGA
rnacentral:rRNA from 1 species